rnacentral:rRNA from 1 species
GUAUGGCUGUUCGCCAUUUAAAGUGGUACGCGAGCUGGGUUUAGAACGUCGUGAGACAGUUCGGUCCCUAUCUGCCGUGGGCGCUGGAGAACUGAGGGGGGCUGCUCCUAGUACGAGAGGACCGGAGUGGACGCAUCACUGGUGUUCGGGUUGUCAUGCCAAUGGCACUGCCCGGUAGCUAAAUGCGGAAGAGAUAAGUGCUGAAAGCAUCUAAGCACGAAACUUGCCCCGAGAUGAGUUCUCCCUGACCCUUUAAGGGUCCUGAAGGAACGUUGAAGACGACGACGUCGAUAGGCCGGGUGUGUAAGCGCAGCGAUGCGUUGAGCUAACCGGUACUAAUGAACCGUGAGGCUUAACCUU